rnacentral:sRNA from 2 species
GCGGAGUUUACUCAAUGAAGUAGGGGAUGGCGUCCCCCUGGGGAUAACCCCGAACCGCCUCUUGAUUAAUGAUAGGGGCUGAUGACGCCUACUUCACCACAAAAGGGUGGGAAGUAUGGCGCCAAAUGAAGCUCAGAUAGUAGUUUUAACCAUAACUCAAGUUAU